rnacentral:rRNA from 1 species
UGAGUAACGCGUAUGCAACCUACCGUAUCGAGACGGGGAAUAACCCGGCGAAAGUCGGACUAAUACCGCAUAAAACAGGGGCACCGCAUGGUGAUAUUGUUAAAGAAUUCGCUGAUAGAUGGGCAUGCGUUCCAUUAGGUAGUUGGUGAGGUAACGGCUCACCAAGCCGACGAUGGAUAGGGGAACUGAGAGGUUGGUCCCCCCACACUGGUACUGAGACACGGACCAGACUCCUACGGGAGGCAGCAGUGAGGAAUAUUGGUCAAUGGGCGGGAGCCUGAACCAGCCAAGUCGCGUGAAGGAAGAAGGAUCUAUGGUUCGUAAACUUCUUUUGCAGGGGAAUAAAGUGCAGGACGUGUCCUGUUUUGUAUGUACCCUGAGAAUAAGGAUCGGCUAACUCCGUGCCAGCAGCAGC